CUUCCUAAGUGGUCAAUUUUAAUCACCUGAUGAGGCCAAUAAGAGGGAGGGGUUGAUGGAAUUGCAAGCAAGAAAAUGAUCUCUGAGGGGCGCUGUCAUUCUACGAGGGAAAAUAGGUGCCUGGGAUUCCUGAGGUAAUCUGAAGACUAACAAUUAUUUUUAUGGCAGAGACCCUGAUUCAGAGACCAUCUUUGGGACUGGUGCUGUGUGAUCUGGAGUCUUUGCAAUGUGUAGUGCAGUCACUGACAGAGGGGCUCUGAGAUUAAGGAAAUCUUCCUCAUGUUCUGCUUCACUCCAUAUAGCUGCACUAAGGCCAACCACAAUUACUGGCGCGCAUUUCCAGAGUGCUACCAGCCCUGGGAAGCAGGGGAGGAUGCAGGCAGCACCCCGGGAGGCACCGGGCGGCGGUGGUGCAGCCCGCUGAU